rnacentral:rRNA from 1 species
AUGAACGCUGGCGGCGUGCUUCACCCAUGCCAGUCGCACGAUGAAGCCCAGCUUGCUGGGUGGAUUAGUGGCGAACGGGUGAGUAACACGUGAGUAACCUGCCCUUAACUCUGGGAUAAGCCUGGGAAACUGGGUCUAAUACCGGAUAGGAGCGUCCACCGCAUGGUGGGUGUUGGAAAGAUUUAUCGGUUUUGGAUGGACUCGCGGCCUAUCAGCUUGUUGGUGAGGUAAUGGCUCACCAAGGCGACGACGGGUAGCCGGCCUGAGAGGGUGACCGGCCACACUGGGACUGAGACACGGCCCAGACUCCUACGGGAGGCAGCAGUGGGGAAUAUUGCACAAUGGGCGCAAGCCUGAUGCAGCGACGCCGCGUGAGGGAUGACGGCCUUCGGGUUGUAAACCUCUUUCAGUAGGGAAGAAGCGAAAGUGACGGUACCUGCAGAAGAAGCACCGGCUAACUACGUG